rnacentral:lncRNA from 1 species
CCUGGGUUCCGGCCAUCCUCCCGCCUCAGCCUCCCCAGUAGCUGGGACUACAGGUCUAGCUGGAGUAGAGUGAUGCAGUCAUAGCCCACUGCAGCCUCAAAUUCCUGGGCUCGAGCAAUCCACCCACAUCAGCUUCCCAAGUAGUUGGGACUACAGGCCCACACUACUAUAUCCAGACCAACUGAUAUUCUAGCAUAUAAGAAAUGUGAUGCUCUCUGUAUAUUGAAGAUUUGAUCUAAUAUUUGGCCUGGUGUAUACAGAAAUUUCCUGUCUGCUCGGCUCUGGUUGAAGAAACCAGUCUGACUGUCUUUGAGGCUAUGGAGCAGUCCAUCAAGAAUGAAAGCCCUCGUGCCAGGCACGUUGGCUCACACCUGUAAUAGCAGCACUUUGGGAGGCCGAGGCAGGUGGAUC